GGGCCCGCACAAGCGGUGGAGCAUGUGGUUUAAUUCGAUGCAACGCGAAGAACCUUACCAGGCCUUGACAUCCCCGGAACUUUCUAGAGAUAGAUUGGUGCCUUCGGGAACCGGGUGACAGGUGCUGCAUGGCUGUCGUCAGCUCGUGUCGUGAGAUGUUGGGUUAAGUCCCGUAACGAGCGCAACCCUUGUCCUUAGUUGCCAUCAUUUAGUUGGGCACUCUGAAAGAACUGCCAGUGAUAAGCUGGAGGAAGGUGGGGAUGACGUCAAGUCCUCAUGGCCCUUACGUGUUGGGCUACACACGUGCUACAAUGGGGCGUACAAAGGGUUGCAAUCCCGCGAGGGGAGCUAAUCCCAUAAACGUUCGUAGUCCGGAUCGCAGUCUGCAACUCGACUGCGUGAAGUCGGAAUCGCUAGUAAUCG
rnacentral:rRNA from 1 species